UACGAAGGGGGCUAGCGUUGCUCGGAAUCACUGGGCGUAAAGCGCACGUAGGCGGCUUUUUAAGUCAGGGGCUCAACCCUUGAAAGCCGGCCGAUACUGUCGGACUAGAGUCCGGAAGAGGCAAGUGGAAUUCCCGGUGUAGCGGUGAAAUGCGCAGAUAUCGGGAGGAACACCAAUGGCGAAGGCAGCUUGCUGGGACGGUACUGACGCUGAGGCGCGAAAGCGUGGGGAGCAAACAGG
rnacentral:rRNA from 1 species